rnacentral:rRNA from 1 species
GAGCGGUAGAGAGAAGCUUGCUUCUCUUGAGAGCGGCGGACGGGUGAGUAAUGCCUAGGAAUCUGCCUAGUGGUGGGGGAUAACGUUCGGAAACGGACGCUAAUACCGCAUACGUCCUACGGGAGAAAGCGGGGGACCUUCGGGCCUCGCGCCAUUAGAUGAGCCUAGGUCGGAUUAGCUAGUUGGUGAGGUAAUGGCUCACCAAGGCUACGAUCCGUAACUGGUCUGAGAGGAUGAUCAGUCACACUGGAACUGAGACACGGUCCAGACUCCUACGGGAGGCAGCAGUGGGGAAUAUUGGACAAUGGGCGAAAGCCUGAUCCAGCCAUGCCGCGUGUGUGAAGAAGGUCUUCGGAUUGUAAAGCACUUUAAGUUGGGAGGAAGGGUAGUAACUUAAUACGUUGCUAUUUUGACGUUACCGACUA